UUCUGGCCGGGCACAAAAAACCGAAACCGAAGACCGAAGCCGAAAUAACCGGGACCGAAACCGAAAUACAAGAAAAUUCGGUGUUCGGUCAUACGAUCGGUCUUGCCAGGCAACUGACCGAAAUAUUUUAAUACUGUUCGGUUGUGUCGAGCGAACGACCGAAGCGACCGAAGCGACCGAUCAUUUCAGCCCAGCAGCCCAUUCGGCCACUUUUCUAGCUCCAUUCCAGCCUCCAGGCCUCUUUUCACUCUCGCUUCGUUCCUCAUUCGACCCUGGACAACACACAGGAGAGACCUGCCCUAGGGUUGCGCCGCCGCCCCAUCCUCCUGGAAGAGCAAGCACCACCGCCGUCCGGCGUCCGGCCGACCGGCCAACACUCCAGGCCUCCAGCCGCAUCUCCUUCCCCGCCGCAUCUCCAGGUCUCCAACCCCGCGUCGGCCGGCAGCACGCCACCACAGGGAUCCGGCCAGCAAGUGACACGAUGGCAUCCGAACCUGAGUAUGUUCUUGAGGAUGAGCUGAAUGCACGUGAACUUGCCCUUGCGAAUGCCCGUGAACUUGAAGCGGAUGCCCAUAUACUUGCGCUUGCGGAUGCAGAAGCAGAUGAAGCAAUAGCUGCGGGAGUGAAAGCCACGAUGAAAACGGAAGAUGUGGGGGUGAUUCAAAUUGAGGAUGAUGAGGAACCUGUGAAUCCAAAAUUGAGGAAACCGAUGGCAGCAAGAUCAGAGGCCUGGGAGCAUUUUACCAAAGUUCUAGAUUCCAAUGGUAAGGUGAAAGAAGGAUUGUGCAAGUAUUGUAACCGUCCAAUUCAAGCUACUACAGCAGGCAAUGGGACAUCAUCAAUGCACAGGCACUUGCUAUUUGUUGUAAGAAUUAAUGUUCUCUUAUUUGUUUUGAAUUAUAAACUGCUACCUGUAAGCUGCUCCCAUUUCCUGCUGCUCUACUGCAAGUCUGUAACGUGUUGUGAACUUGUGAAUUGUGAUAUACUGUUUAGUUUCCCCAUUUGUGUGCUCCCAUUUUUAUGUACAUGUGCUAUGAGCCUACCAUGUUGUGCUAGUUUAUUCUUCUGCUAGAAAUUAUGAAGUGAAA